GAUGAAGAACGCAGCGAAAUGCGAUAAGUAAUGUGAAUUGCAGAAUUCAGUGAAUCAUCGAAUCUUUGAACGCACAUUGCGCCCGCCAGUAUUCUGGCGGGCAUGCCUGUUCGAGCGUCAUUUCAACCAUCAAGCCCCCGGCUUGUGUUGGGGACCUGCGGCUGCCGCAGGCCCUGAAAAGCAGUGGCGGGCUCGCUGUCACACCGAGCGUAGAAGCAUACAUCUCGCUCUGGGCGUGCUGCGGGUUCCGGCCGUUAAACCACCUUCAUAACCCAAGGUUGACCUCGGAUCAGGUAGGAAGACCCGCUGAACUUAAGCAUAUCAAUAAGCGGAGGA
rnacentral:misc_RNA from 1 species